GUACACUCCUACGGGAGGCAGCAGUGGGGAAUUUUGGACAAUGGGCGAAAGCCUGAUCCAGCAAUGCCGCGUGAGUGAAGAAGGCCUUCGGGUUGUAAAGCUCUUUUGUCAGGGAAGAAACGGUGAGAGCUAAUAUCUUUUGCUAAUGACGGUACCUGAAGAAUAAGCACCGGCUAACUACGUGCCAGCAGCCGCGGUAAUACGUAGGGUGCAAGCGUUAAUCGGAAUUACUGGGCGUAAAGCGUGCGCAGGCGGUUUUGUAAGUCUGAUGUGAAAUCCCCGGGCUCAACCUGGGAAUUGCAUUGGAGACUGCAAGGCUAGAAUCUGGCAGAGGGGGGUAGAAUUCCACGUGUAGCAGUGAAAUGCGUAGAUAUGUGGAGGAACACCGAUGGCGAAGGCAGCCCCCUGGGUCAAGAUUGACGCUCAUGCACGAAAGCGUGGGGAGCAAACAGGAUUAGAUACCCGAGUAGUCCC
rnacentral:rRNA from 1 species